CACUUGAACACAUUGAGUGAAAUCUUGGAUUUCAGCUUGGGUAACCUGGUUACAUGAUUGCCUAUCAUUAAUAGACAACACUGCAUUGAAGUCACCUGCAACCAGCCAAGGAUCAGUUAUACCAAUAGCAAGAUUCUGAAGUUGUUGCCACAUUAACCUUCUUUGAUCCAAUCCAUUGCAACCAUAGACUACAAUGAGGAGGCAAACCAAAUCCCCUG
rnacentral:lncRNA from 1 species